UACGUAGGGUGCGAGCGUUGUCCGGAAUUACUGGGCGUAAAGAGCUCGUAGGUGGUUUGUCGCGUUGUUCGUGAAAACCGGGGGCUUAACCCUCGGCGUGCGGGCGAUACGGGCAGACUUGAGUACUGCAGGGGAGAGUGGAAUUCCUGGUGUAGCGGUGAAAUGCGCAGAUAUCAGGAAGAACACCCGUGGCGAAAGCGGCUCUCUGGAACGGUACUGACGCUGAGACGCGAAAGCGUGGGGAGCGAACAGG
rnacentral:rRNA from 1 species